rnacentral:rRNA from 1 species
UCGGGAAUAUUGCGCAAUGGAGGGAACUCUGACGCAGUGACGCCGCGUAUGGGAAGAAGGUUUUCGGAUUGUAAACCAUUGUCGUUAGGGAAGAAGAAGUGACAGUACCUAAGGAGGAAGCACCGGCUAACUAUGUGCCAGCAGCCGCGGUAAUACAUAGGGUGCAAGCGUUAUCCGGAUUUAUUGGGUGUAAAGGGUGCGUAGACGGGAAUACAAGUUGGUUGUGAAAUCCCUCGGCUCAACCGAGGAACUGCAACCAAAACUAUAUUUCUUGAGUGCUGGAGAGGAAAGUGGAAUUCCUAGUGUAGCGGUGAAAUGCGUAGAUAUUAGGAGGAACACCAGUGGCGAAGGCGACUUUCUGGACAGUAACUGACGUUGAGGCACGAAAGUGUGGGGAGCAAACAGG